UGUCCGGAAUUACUGGGCGUAAAGGGCUCGUAGGUGGUUUGUCGCGUCGUCUGUGAAAUUCCGGGGCUUAACUCCGGGCGUGCAGGCGAUACGGGCAUAACUUGAGUACUGUAGGGGUAACUGGAAUUCCUGGUGUAGCGGUGAAAUGCGCAGAUAUCAGGAGGAACACCGAUGGCGAAGGCAGGUUACUGGGCAGUUACUGACGCUGAGGAGCGAAAGCAUGGGUAGCGAACAGGAUUAGAUACCCUGGUAGUCCAUGCCGUAAACGGUGGGCGCUAGGUGUGAGGGUCUUUUCACGACUUUCGUGCCGUAGCUAACGCAUUAAGCGCCCCGCCUGGGGAGUACGGCCGCAAGGCUAAAACUCAAAGGAAUUGACGGGGGCCCGCACAAGCGGCGGAGCAUGUGGAUUAAUUCGAUGCAACGCGAAGAACCUUACCUGGGCUUGACAUACACUGGAUCGCUGCAGAGAUGUAGUUUCCCUUUGUGGCUGGUGUACAGGUGGUGCAUGGUUGUCGUCAGCUCGUGUCGUGAGAUGUUGGGUUAAGUCCCGCAACGAGCGCAACCCUUGUCUUAUGUUGCCAGCAUUUGGUUGGGGACUCAUGAGAGACUGCCGGGGUCAACUCGGAGGAAGGUGGGGAUGACGUCAAAUCAUCAUGCCCCUUAUGUCCAGGGCUUCACACAUGCUACAAUGGUCGGUACAACGCGCAGCGACACUGUGAGGUGGAGCGAAUCGCUGAAAGCCGGCCUUAGUUCGGAUUGGGGUCUGCAACUCGACCCCAUGAAGUCGGAGUCGCUAGUAAU
rnacentral:rRNA from 1 species